AUGGGGGCCCCUGACAAUCCUCAUGGGAAAAAGCAACACGGGCCAAGCCCCGACUGGGAGGAAGAUGAAAGGUGGAGGGGCCAGUGUUCCUGUCUCACAGCUGCACAGAGGGAAAGGGAGGGGGUGAGACAAAUCACUGGGAGGUUUUUGUGCGGGUCUGUGUCACGGUGUUGGGUGUUCGGCGGAGGGACCCGUGUGACCGUCAUUGGUCAGCCCAAGGCAUCCCCCACCGUGUAUGUCUUUGCUCCAUCCCAGGAUGAGCUAGACACAAAAAAGGCCACCCUCGUGUGUCUGAUAAAUGGCUUCUACCCAAGCACUGUGGAUGUGGCUUGGACCAAGAAUGGCUCCCCCGUGACCCAGGGGGUGAUGACCACGCAGCCAGCCCGCCAGAGUGACAACAAGUACACAGCCAGCAGUUACCUCUCGCUCACUGAUGACCAGUGGCAUUCUGGCGACAUCUUCAGCUGCAAGGUCACCCAUGAGGGCCAGACCCUCCACAAGGAGCUGUCCUCAACCCAGUGCACUUAGAUGCCCACAUGCUUCCUCCCUCACGCCCCACAAUGGACUUCCCCACCUCUCCCCCCUCCUCCCCUACUUUCAAUAAAGAUCUUCUUUCUCAUUCAA